AUUCAUAUAGUUUAAUUAAAACACUUCAUUUUCAAUGAAGAAAUGAAUUUAAAUUCUAUGAAUA
rnacentral:tRNA from 1 species